rnacentral:rRNA from 1 species
UACUGCAAGUCGAGCGAACGGACGAGAAGCUUGCUUCUCUGAUGUUAGCGGCGGACGGGUGAGUAACACGUGGAUAACCUACCUAUAAGACUGGGAUAACUUCGGGAAACCGGAGCUAAUACCGGAUAAUAUUUUGAACCGCAUGGUUCAAAAGUGAAAGACGGUCUUGCUGUCACUUAUAGAUGGAUCCGCGCUGCAUUAGCUAGUUGGUAAGGUAACGGCUUACCAAGGCAACGAUGCAUAGCCGACCUGAGAGGGUGAUCGGCCACACUGGAACUGAGACACGGUCCAGACUCCUACGGGAGGCAGCAGUAGGGAAUCUUCCGCAAUGGGCGAAAGCCUGACGGAGCAACGCCGCGUGAGUGAUGAAGGUCUUCGGAUCGUAAAACUCUGUUAUUAGGGAAGAACAUAUGUGUAAGUAACUGUGCACAUCUUGACGGUACCUAAUCAGAAAGCCACGGCUAACUACGUGCCAGCAGCCGCGGUAAUACGUAGGUGGCAAGCGUUAUCCGGAAUUAUUGGGCGUAAAGCGCGCGUAGGCGGUUUUUUAAGUCUGAUGUGAAAGCCCACGGCUCAACCGUGGAGGGUCAUUGGAAACUGGAAAACUUGAGUGCAGAAGAGGAAAGUGGAAUUCCAUGUGUAGCGGUGAAAUGCGCAGAGAUAUGGAGGAACACCAGUGGCGAAGGCGACUUUCUGGUCUGUAACUGACGCUGAUGUGCGAAAGCGUGGGGAUCAAACAGGAUUAGAUACCCUGGUAGUCCACGCCGUAAACGAUGAGUGCUAAGUGUUAGGGGGUUUCCGCCCCUUAGUGCUGCAGCUAACGCAUUAAGCACUCCGCCUGGGGAGUACGACCGCAAGGUUGAAACUCAAAGGAAUUGACGGGGACCCGCACAAGCGGUGGAGCAUGUGGUUUAAUUCGAAGCAACGCGAAGAACCUUACCAAAUCUUGACAUCCUUUGACAACUCUAGAGAUAGAGCUUUCCCCUUCGGGGGACAAAGUGACAGGUGGUGCAUGGUUGUCGUCAGCUCGUGUCGUGAGAUGUUGGGUUAAGUCCCGCAACGAGCGCAACCCUUAAGCUUAGUUGCCAUCAUUAAGUUGGGCACUCUAAGUUGACUGCCGGUGACAAACCGGAGGAAGGUGGGGAUGACGUCAAAUCAUCAUGCCCCUUAUGAUUUGGGCUACACACGUGCUACAAUGGACAAUACAAAGGGCAGCGAAACCGCGAGGUCAAGCAAAUCCCAUAAAGUUGUUCUCAGUUCGGAUUGUAGUCUGCAACUCGACUACAUGAAGCUGGAAUCGCUAGUAAUCGUAGAUCAGCAUGCUACGGUGAAUACGUUCCCGGGUCUUGUACACACCGCCCGUCACACCACGAGAGUUUGUAACACCCGAAGCCGGUGGAGUAACCUUUUAG